UACGUAGGUGGCGAGCGUUGUCCGGAUUUACUGGGCGUAAAGAGCGCGCAGGCGGUCGUGCAAGUCGCGUGUGAAAGCCCCCGGCUCAACUGGGGAGGGUCACGCGAUACUGCUCGACUCGAAGGCAGGAGAGGGAAGUGGAAUUCCCGGUGUAGUGGUGAAAUGCGUAGAUAUCGGGAGGAACACCAGUGGCGAAGGCGGCUUACUGGUCCGGAACCUGAC
rnacentral:rRNA from 1 species